AGAGUUUGAUCAUGGCUCAGAUUGAACGCUGGCGGCGGGCCUAACACAUGCAAGUCGAGCGGAAACGACACUAACAAUCCUUCGGGUGAGUUAAUGGGCGUCGAGCGGCGGACGGGUGAGUAAUGCCUAGGAAAUUGCCUUGAUGUGGGGGAUAACCAUUGGAAACGAUGGCUAAUACCGCAUAAUGCCUACGGGCCAAAGAGGGGGACCUUCGGGCCUCUCGCGUCAAGAUAUGCCUAGGUGGGAUUAGCUAGUUGGUGAGGUAAUGGCUCACCAAGGCGACGAUCCCUAGCUGGUCUGAGAGGAUGAUCAGCCACACUGGAACUGAGACACGGUCCAGACUCCUACGGGAGGCAGCAGUGGGGAAUAUUGCACAAUGGGCGAAAGCCUGAUGCAGCCAUGCCGCGUGUAUGAAGAAGGCCUUCGGGUUGUAAAGUACUUUCAGUUGUGAGGAAGGGGGUAGCGUUAAUAGCGCUAUCUCUUGACGUUAGCAACAGAAGAAGCACCGGCUAACUCCGUGCCAGCAGCCGCGGUAAUACGGAGGGUGCGAGCGUUAAUCGGAAUUACUGGGCGUAAAGCGCAUGCAGGUGGUUCAUUAAGUCAGAUGUGAAAGCCCGGGGCUCAACCUCGGAACUGCAUUUGAAACUGGUGAACUAGAGUACUGUAGAGGGGGGUAGAAUUUCA
rnacentral:rRNA from 1 species